UGCCAGGACUGAGUCAGGGUGGAGCCAGGAGCCAGCAGCUUUAUUCAGGUCUCUCACUUGGGUGGUAGGGGCCCAAACACUUGAGCCAUUUUCUGCUGCUUUUCCCAGGCCAUUACCAGGGAGCUGGAUCAGAAGUGGAGCAGCCAGGACAUGAACUGGCAUCCAUAUGGGAUGCCAGUGUUGCAGGUCUUGACUUUACCUGCUAUGCCACAAUAUUGGCCCUGUGCUUAGCAGGGAGCUGGAUCAGAAGUGGAACAGCCAGGAUUCAAACUGACACCCAUAUGCGAUGCCAGUACUGCAUGGGCAGGAACUGGAGUUGUCUCCUGCUGCAUCACUUCUGUGUCUCCUCCCCCUUCACCAUCUGAUGCUUCUAGGAAAAAAGUUUGGAAAUUAGGAAAGUGUUUCUUAUUCCCACUGCUAG